rnacentral:rRNA from 1 species
UGAGGAAUAUUGGUCAAUGGACGAGAGUCUGAACCAGCCAAGUAGCGUGAAGGAUGACUGCCCUAUGGGUUGUAAACUUCUUUUAUAUGGGAAUAAAGUGUUCCACGUGUGGGAUUUUGUAUGUACCAUAUGAAUAAGGAUCGGCUAACUCCGUGCCAGCAGCCGCGGUAAUACGGAGGAUCCGAGCGUUAUCCGGAUUUAUUGGGUUUAAAGGGAGCGUAGGUGGAUUGUUAAGUCAGUUGUGAAAGUUUGCGGCUCAACCGUAAAAUUGCAGUUGAAACUGGCAGUCUUGAGUACAGUAGAGGUGGGCGGAAUUCGUGGUGUAGCGGUGAAAUGCUUAGAUAUCACGAAGAACUCCGAUUGCGAAGGCAGCUCACUAGACUGCAACUGACACUGAUGCUCGAAAGUGUGGGUAUCAAACAGGAUUAGAUACCCUGGUAGUCCACACAGUAAACGAUGAAUACUCGCUGUUUGCGAUAUACGGCAAGCGGCCAAGCGAAAGCGUUAAGUAUUCCACCUGGGGAGUACGCCGGCAACGGUGAAACUCAAAGGAAUUGACGGGGGCCCGCACAAGCGGAGGAACAUGUGGUUUAAUUCGAUGAUACGCGAGGAACCUUACCCGGGCUUAAAUUGCACUCGAAUGAUCCGGAAACGGUUCAGCUAGCAAUAGCGAGUGUGAAGGUGCUGCAUGGUUGUCGUCAGCUCGUGCCGUGAGGUGUCGGCUUAAGUGCCAUAACGAGCGCAACCCUUGUUGUCAGUUACUAACAGGUGAUGCUGAGGACUCUGACAAGACUGCCAUCGUAAGAUGUGAGGAAGGUGGGGAUGACGUCAAAUCAGCACGGCCCUUACGUCCGGGGCUACACACGUGUUACAAUGGGGGGUACAGAGGGCCGCUACCACGCGAGUGGAUGCCAAUCCCUAAAACCCCUCUCAGUUCGGACUGGAGUCUGCAACCCGACUCCACGAAGCUGGAUUCGCUAGUAAUCGCGCAUCAGCCACGGCGCGGUGAAUACGUUCCC